rnacentral:rRNA from 1 species
UACGUAGGGUGCAAGCGUUGUCCGGAAUUAUUGGGCGUAAAGAGCUCGUAGGCGGUCUGUCGCGUCGGCUGUGAAAUCCCGAGGCUCAACCUCGGGUCUGCAGUCGAUACGAGCAAACUAGAGUGUUGCAGGGGAGACUGGAAUUCCUGGUGUAGCGGUGAAAUGCGCAGAUAGUCAGGAGGAACACCGGUGGCGAAGGCGGGUCUCUGGGCAACAACUGACGCUGAGGAGCGAAAGCGUGGGGAGCGAACAGG